rnacentral:rRNA from 1 species
UACUCCUACGGGAGGCAGCAGUGGGGAAUAUUGGACAAUGGGCGAAAGCCUGAUCCAGCCAUGCCGCGUGUGUGAAGAAGGUCUUCGGAUUGUAAAGCACUUUAAGUUGGGAGGAAGGGCAGUAAGUUAAUACCUUGCUGUUUUGACGUUACCAACAGAAUAAGCACCGGCUAACUUCGUGCCAGCAGCCGCGGUAAUACGAAGGGUGCAAGCGUUAAUCGGAAUUACUGGGCGUAAAGCGCGCGUAGGUGGUUCAGCAAGUUGGAUGUGAAAUCCCCGGGCUCAACCUGGGAACUGCAUCCAAAACUACUGAGCUAGAGUACGGUAGAGGGUGGUGGAAUUUCCUGUGUAGCGGUGAAAUGCGUAGAUAUAGGAAGGAACACCAGUGGCGAAGGCGACCACCUGGACUGAUACUGACACUGAGGUGCGAAGCGUGGGGAGCAAACAGGAUUAGAUACCCUGGUAGUCCACGCCGUAAACGAUGUCGACUAGCCGUUGGGAUCCUUGAGAUCUUAGUGGCGCAGCUAACGCGAUAAGUCGACCGCCUGGGGAGUACGGCCGCAAGGUUAAAACUCAAAUGAAUUGACGGA